CUGAGGGAGAGCUGCUCGCCAGGAGCCGGCCCUCGCCCGGCGUCCGAGAGGGACGGGGGUUUUACCUCUUCGGCAACGCUCCGCUGCCGCCGGCCGUCCAGAUAGGUGGCAUGGCAGCCACGGCUCGAGCAAAUAGGACUCCUUGGAUGAAAGCGAAAUAAGUGCUGGGAACGUUCGGUGAUGUACGUGGGAGGAAGGCACAAGCCACCAAGGCCCCGUUCCCUCCAUCUUGAGCCUUCCAUGGUGAUUUGCAGCAGCACAGGGAAGUAUGAAGCACUGAGGGACUGAAGUCAGUGUUUAAAUCUCACUUCACUUAAACGUAAAUGGCUGUAGAAGGCUCGGAUCGAUGAAGGACGAGGGGUAGAAUAGCAGAAGUACUUAAGGUGCCUCUUUUAAAAGUUCUCUUUUGAGUAUUUAAAGAUGAAGGAGUUAUUUAGAAAAGAUGACUCUCCACAUGUGUUCAUGUUUACAUGUCCUAAUAGAAGAUGAUGGUACGCAUUAUCUUACAUGCUAGAUACAUCUUGGGUGAAUCUGUAUCACCUUACUGAUUUCAGGGGAGCUGUAUUGAUUUAAGUUAGUUAAGAAACUAACUCAGUUAAGUUUUAAAUAAUUGGAAUGAUAUUCUCCCUCUCUUUCCGUCAGAUUUGCCCUUCAUGUUACUUGUGUUUCAUAAUCCUCCUAGCUCUCCAUUUCAUCAUUACAAGACCAGCAUCUCUAUUGAAAAAAAAAAAAGAGGAGAAAAAAAUACCCCUUAAAAGAUAGUCUUUUUACAAUCUGAUCUUUAUUUUCAUGUUAAAAUACAUUUAGGGCACAGGCUCAUCCUAUUUUUUUUAAUAGGCCGGUUUUGUUUCAUUUACUUACACUGGCAUUUUUUAAAGCUAGAAGCUCUCAGGAAGAGAAUGUGUUCGAUGCACCAGAACCCGUUAGGGUUUUGAUAAAAGACAUGAUAUCAUGAGUAACAUCUCCACUUCUGUUAUUCUUCUUAUGUAGUAGUGACAAGAUUGAAUCACCAUUUUUAGCUAUUCUUCAGCAGAACUUGUAAUCUAUCAAUGUGUCAGCUCAACAGCAGUUUUCUCUUCACACUAAUGUGAACCAGAAGGUCCAGCUAUCACUGAUUUUGACAAUUUUAUUUUAUCUGAGAUUGUGUGUAUUGCAGAAGUUUGAAGAAAAUGAAUUAUAGGACCUAUUAUAUUUUCCUAGAGAUGUGCAAAACAUAAAAUAUGUCAUCUAAAACAUUUUAAACUCAUUUGUACUGGGUAACAUUCCUAAGUUAGGUGUUUCAUAAGCCUUAAGCUAUAAGCACUAGAAAAUAUUUGUGUGAUAGAUAACAAGUAUAAGAUCAAAUGUGGGUCCCAUAUUUUUUUGAAUGCCUCGGAUUGCCCUCUGUGUUGUUACAUAAUGCAUCAUAAAGAAAUACGUGCCUUCAUUCUCUUUAAAUCACUCUGGCAUGGAUAGUGCUAAGCCUUCCUUCAAGUCCUCGUUAUGCAAGUCCUUGCUACUGUUAAUAGCUGUCAGCUCGGCAUGGUUACUUAAAAAACAAGGUAACCGCAGAGUUUUUGUGAAGCUCUUGCAUUUCUGGAAUUUACAAUGAGUCAGUUCCAGGUGCUUUGCUCCCGUUCUCAACUGUAAACUAAAUUAUUAUGAACAAACAGGGUUUUCCCUGUUAGAAGAAAGUCCCAUUCAUUCCCCUGAAUCACAAGGUAAUCUGUGGUUUUUUUGUUUAGUUGCGUCUAUAAGCAUUUUAUAUUAUGAGUAUCUGAAUGCACUCCUCCAGUGUCAAAAUACAAUGGAAUAGACCAGAAUACAGUAAUAUUUUGAAUGAUUGUUGAAAAAUGCAGGCAUAUGACUAAGUACUGAAAAAAUACGUAGCAUAGUAAAAAUCCACGACCAAUCUAGCAAAGCUAUUAGAUAGCAAAAAAUCCACGUAGGUAUUAAGUACUAUUAUUUAAAGCAAAAUCUGUGUUUUACAGUAUAAGCAGCAUUCAAGUGAAAUUGAUGAGACAUCUGUAUAUAACAGAAAGACUCAUUUUUUAAAGCUAUGAUGUUAUGACGUUCUGUAUUUCUUUACUUGGGAAGUGGAAUUUUCCUUGUCUUUUCGUAAAGGCAUAAAAUUAACAAGAAGCCCUUCAGAGAAUUAGGUGCACUCCUGGUUUGUGUUUUUUUCCUCUAUCAAACAUAGAGAUCAUUGACGAAAAAAAAAUGCGGAGGAACCUAUCUGGGUUUUCCAAUAUCAUGGAGAUCUUUCCAAGUAGCCUGUCAUUUAACAAGGCCUCGAUUUUAAAGAUACUGAAAUAGGACUAUCUCAAAAUUUGUAAUACUGACUAUAUAAAGCAAAAUUUUGCUCUCAGUUUAUACUCGUAGAAGUAUGCAAGUAGUAACUCGGUGAUGUGUCACCAGGAAAGGAGGGUUUUGUUUCAUAUUCUAUUAACAGAUCUAUUAGUGUAACAAACCUCUAUUGCUUUUUUACAUUUUUUUACCUUUUUGUUGCUCUUGUAAAUUUGGGGUGCUAGCUUACUUGUUUUCUUCCCUUCUCCUACUAGUAAUUGUUUUUAAAAGUUCAACUAUAUUCUGUUCAGGUUUUGGUACGACACAUGGAAAAUAUUUCUUUUUUUAUUCCUUUUGCAAGCAGUAGGUUGGUGGGAGGAGGUCUGCACUGUAAAAUAGUAUACCUACUAAAUUGUACUCCAGUGGGAGAUUAAAGAAGAAAGAGCAGAAUGGCUGAGACAAGUCGUUUGUCACAGAUGUUCAUGCAGUUCUGUGUUUUCUUUUAAGCUGGAUUCAUCAAACAUGAUAAGGAGUAAUUUCUGUCUGAUAUGAAGUCCCUAUCCAAGGAGACUAAGUGGGUUAAGUUUAAACUGUGGUUUGAAAAUACAGGGAAAUGUUACUGGGCUCUCGACAGCUUGAUUCAGUAGCCAAAGUGGACGCAAGGACGUAAAUUGGAGAAUGCUAUUUUUGCAGUGUCUAAAAUGCAUCAGUUCAGAAGUAAGAAGGAAAAUGCAUCACAAAUAUAUUACUAUGGAGCAGAGUUACUUUAGCUACAUGAUACUUUUGCCUAUAAAGCACAAAGGUUUUACCAUAAAUGUCUGAAUACGUAGAUUAUAAAGGGUACCGAUGCUGCCGGAGAGCAAGCAUGAAAUGUUGAUGUGAUAACGUCUCAUACUUAAGUGGCAUUUACGGACUGCUUCUACAGUAUUUCAUAAGUUUAUAAAAUAAGUUUAGUAAUAAAACUUAGUGAAAAUGCACGAGAUAAGCACUAGUGUAAUAAUUAUUUCAGUUUUUUUAGAUAGACUGAUUAUCAUAUUUAAUAAAGUAGAAUAAGAAUGAGAAGGCCCAGAACUAAGCUUACUUUAAAUGGGGGAUUUAAAAAAAUGAAUAUCAGACUCAUUCUUAUUUUUUAUUAGUUACUAUCUCUUUUAAUAUUUUUUUCCCUCUUGUAAGUUCCUAUCUGUCUCUCUUCCUUCAGAAAUACUAUGCCCCUGCCCCGAAAGGGAGAAAUAUAAUGGCCACAAUUAGCUUCCGUUUACUGGAGCAAAAUGAUUUUUUCCCAAACUGAAAUAUAUGCAUUAAUUUGCUAGACUUCCAGCUAUUUUUACCUACGUUGUUUCUGAGAAAUGGAUAGUGAUGUCCAUUUUAAUGCAGCUUACUGCAGUAUAGCAGCUGUAAUCUAGCGUUUUUCUCCUUGGUAGUCAGAUAUACAGAAUUGUUGGCCUGUUUGCUUUUAAGUACCUGAAAGCCGUAUCAGAAAAAAACCAUUUUUGAUACAAUAAGUUUGGCUUUUCAGUCUGUACUUCCUUUUGAGUUUUCUAAGUAAAUGCUACAUAGACUGAUUAUCAGAAAAAUCGAGGCUUACAUAAUCAAGCCAUACAUUUUUCUGCUGCCUCCCUUCCCCCACUUAGCCUUCAUUUUACUCUGAAAAAUGAAACAUUUUGAAUAGAAAAUUACUAUGGGAUACUGAUUAUAUACACAUUUUUGUGAGACUGCAUAGCUAAGCUAUUCGUAUGUAUUUAGUAAAAGAAAGCAAUAAACAACAUUUUCAAACCUUGAGAUGGCUAAACCAUAAAAUUAUAGUAAUCGUUAAAUACAACUUGUACCUGGCUGUGUAGCAUUGACUCUUUUUUCUUUGCAUGGGGGAUUUGGGUACUUCUAUAUAUUCCUUAUUCAGCAUAAGAAAAAUAAGAACGUCGUACCCCGCUUUUUUUACUUGUCGUAAAGCUGAUGCUCCCUCGUAAGGCAGUUAGUUUUAAUACCCAGCUUUCAGAGGAUGAGCAGUGAUUGUUGUUGGCAAAAUAUAUAGCAAAUGAAUCAAAACUCUGUCCUGUUAGAAUAAUUACAAAUUGAAUUAAUUACAAAGAAUAAUAUUAAAAUGUUAUCAAAAUAUGUUAACAUGAACUCUUACCCAUAGGUGGCAGUCAGCUUUCACUGUAGUAGGGAUGCCAAACUUUUGGUUCACUGGUAUUCAUACUUAUGCUGGAAUAAUGUUGAUAGCUCUGCGUAUGUGCAUGUACGUAAGUAUAUACACAUCUGUGUGUUGGGAGAGGGGGAAGGAGGUAAAAUUUACCCUAAAAUAAAUUAGUAAUUAGGACGAUGCUGAAUUUGCUGUCUAUGAGCAAAAGCAAUUAUCAUAUUCUGGACAAAAGAUCCGGGUAUUAUUUUUUAAAACCACACAAACGAUUUUUUAUCUGUCCAUUGCUGGUGCUCAUCUAAAAUAAGUGAUAAUUCAGAAACAUGCAGGUGCCCCUGGAAAUUGAGCAGAGAGGUAAGUAACUCGCCAGCCUUAGAGAACAUGACCCCGUACCGUGCCCAAUCCUCCAAACUACAUUUCUGUUUCGUCACCCCUUAUCUGCAGAUUACAGAAGCGCUGCAGUGAUGACACUCUGCCCUGGAAACCCCAGCAAUAAGCUCCCUUAAACAUCGAGCAAAUGCAGAAAAGGUGCCUGGCGUGAGGGUGUCCUUUUAGCCACAGAGAGGGAGCAAAACCUCCGCUGGGGUUCCCCUUCUCUUUGCAGAGCUGCCAUUGACACCCGUGGCAGGGGAGCCCCACGCAAGGGGAGGACGCUGCCUGCGAGAGCAGAGAUCCGCUCCGGUUUGCCCUCAGCUUCUUUAGGGCUUUCUGAGGUUUACGGGGAUUUCCUUUCGCAGUAUCGCUAAGGAGGCACUUGGGACCCCACCAAAACUGGAGGGGAUGGAAGGAGCUAAUAAGGCCAAGUCGUCUCAGUCUGAAACAAACAGAACUUGGGAAACUGCACACGUGGCGUACUAAGACAGUAGAGCUCUUACGGGAAAAGAAGACUGAAAACUUGACAUUCAAGAGUAGGUAAAGUCAUAUUCUUUUUACUAUUACAGCUACACUGGCACUCUUUUCAGUUAAGGUUAAUCUAAUGUCUCAAGGUAAGCCACUGUACACAUUUAGCAGAGGUCAGGAACUAGUGUUUUACAAAAUGGAAAAUUGGAAAAAUACACAAUUAUGUGUUGCUACUACAAUGUUUCACUGUGAUGCAAGAUUAAGGGCUCAGAAUAGAGUGGAAUGGCGGAGUAUUAUUAAAACAGAAGGCCUAAUUCUCCUUAUGCAAGAGUCGCAGCAACACACAUCGUUGUAUAAGCCAAAGCAGUCAGUAUGAUUUCGUAGUCAAAGAGGGUAUUUCCACAUACAUGCCACCACGACGUGACUAAUUAGAUGCUUGCAUAUACACAGACCCAUUUGUUCCCCAACUGUAAUAAUCGGGAGGAUUGCGCUCCACGUUAAUUUACACUCUUGUGUAACACUACUGAAUACAAGAUAGCAGGUGAUGAUAAACUGACUGGUGACAAACGUGUACAUUUUGCAUGAAUUUUGAAAACCAAAGCUUUUGUAGUCAGCUCUGACCUUGACGUAGGCAAGACUGGAGAAGACCUCCUCAGCCCCAGGGCCAUCUAUCGCGUCUGUGGCCCAGCUAUUGCAGGCAGCCGUGUUGCACUCUUCACCUUGCUUGCAGAGAGAUCAGACUCCAUCUUGAAGCUACCCACCCUUGUCAUGAGGUUGCUCCUCAUUUUCUGUUCCUCUGAAUAGUUAAAGAUUUCGGAUCAUGUGUAUUCAGCACCACCCUCGUGUUCUGUGGGGUCUUUGACUUCAAUUUAAAGAGCAUUGCUCUCUCCUGGUAUAAUCACAGAAUGGUAGGGGUUGGAAGGGACCUUUGGAGAUCAUCUCGUCCAACCCCCCUGCCAGAGCAGGGUCACCUAGAGCAGGCUGGACAGGAACACGUCCAGGCGGGUUUUGAAUGUCUCCAGAGAAGUAGACUCCACAACCUCUCUAGGCAGCCCGUUCCAGUGCCCUGUCACCCUCAAAGAAGUUUUUCCUCAUAAAGUCCCUUCCAGUCUGUCACCCCUUGAGCUUUCGUAGGUUAAUGCCAAAACCUGCUCCUCCUCAGUUCAGCCAAAGCAGCCAUGCCAUACCUGUCCUAGAGGAGGAUGCCUUUCCCCCACCAUUCCUCUAACUCUCCUUUGUACCUUUUCCACUUCCAGUAAAUCUCUUUUAAUGUGCAAGGUUAGAAGUAGACAUAGUACUCCAGAUAAGAUGUCAUUGGGGCCUCUCAUGGUGGCAUUAAUAUCUUCCUAUCCCAGCUAGAUAUACAAUAUUCUGAUAUUUUUUAAACUUGUGUAUUCAGAACUACCUGCUAUCAACAUCUCACAGGCCAUCUCACCCAACAUACCCUUUUUUUAUGGAUGUUGAUAGCAAAAGGUCUUGUUAAUUGUUCCUAGUUUAUGACGGUGAACUUUGCUCUAUUAUACUAGUAUUGCAUGGCAAGGGUGUCAAAAGGCUUUUUAUAAGGAGAGUGUCAUCAGUUUCAUCCAAGGCACGGGCUUCCCGUGAGUUUUCUGGCGCGUCUGGAUUUGUUCAGGAAUCUCCACGCUUUGCACGACUAUAGACGUGAGCUGGCACAUGCACAUGAUACGGCACAGGGCUUUACAGGUGAGCUACCUUGGCUCAUGAAACAGGGUUGUCUCUGGUGUUACGUUACCCCGGCCACAUCACGGUAUGUUAUGUCAGGUGAGCCUUCAGAAAGUCGUCCAGUACUUCGGGCUUGGUGUCCUGCACUGGCUUCAGUUGACAGCUCUGGGAGCAAGAGACCAAAUUCUGAAAUAUUUUUCCAGGAUCAACAGAGGAGAUGGACUGAGUGUCACAUUAUAUUGUUUCUAUUGAUCUUGUAGGUUAAUCUGCAGUUUACAGGUUAUGCCUGUGAGAUUGAAGGGAAAAUGGGAUGUACGGGAGUUGUGUGGCACUCCUGAAUAACACAUAACCCCCCCCUUUUUUUUAAUAGAAGAAUAUGGAGGGUUUUGGUGGUUCUGUUUCUGGAAGCUAAGUAGCAUUAUGACUGUCUCUAAUUAAACAAGCAAAAAUCUGUUUUUCUUUCUUCUCUUUGUCUUCUCUUGGAACUUUCUGUACGAAAUGUGUGUUGUGGCAUUUUUGUGUAGCAAUUUUAUUUGAUAUGUUUUACUUCUGUGCCUGCAGGACAACUAAGAAACUUGACCAUUGUGGUUUAUCUUUAUAAUGAAAAUACCAUCCCGAAGAAAUUUUGCUGGGUUUGGUGUUCCAGCAUACCGACUUCCAGCAUACUGAGUCAAGCCCAUAGUGUAAAGUGACUUUCGUGCCCUUUGUUAUACGAUAUUUUAGCCCCCCCCUCUUUGUGCAAGCAGUGCCCCAGCUUUGUGUCAUCAGUUGAUCCUUCCUCGGUUAAGGUAGUCAAUGAAAAUAGUUCGUAAGAUCUAUCUGGGAUCAUUCUUUAAGGAAGUCCACUGUCAACUUCCCUUUAGCCAGAGACUUCCCCUUCAAAACUACUUUGCAAGUUUUUAUUCAUAUGAAGAGUUAAUUUAGUAAUUGCUGUCUUCCUUAGUUUAAUUUUUUUUUUUUCAAGUAGCGUACUAACAAAUGUUUCCCUGAAAUCCAAUCAUAUUAGGUCAACUCAUUUCCUUGAUGUAAAAAAAGUAGGGUUUGAUGUUUGUUUUUUUUUAAUGUCUGGCUAGUGUGCCAUAAUCUAUUCUUAGGAAAGCUUUGUGGUGUUUUUUCUUAUUUUCUAUUUAUCCAGUUUUAUCCUGUGCUUCCUUGUGUCCAAGUUCUUGGUGGGCAGUCCCAAGUUUUUCGCCUUUUAAGCUCUGAUUGAUUACUUCAAAAUCCUAUUUAAGAAGGCUGCUCUUCCACGUGGAUUCAAAGACCAAUCUGUACAAGUUUUCCCAGCCAGAAAUUAAGAAAGGCAGAAUGAAACUAGUUUGGGUUUUUUUUGGUCAUUUCACCUCCAUCUAAAGGAUUCAUGAAGAAGCUCACUCAGAGAUGGUGAUAAAACAUGGGUUUUCUUGGAGUCGUCAGCAUGUAGCUGAGAAGACCAUACACAUAAGAGCCUCAAAAUCCUGCAAUUUACUGCUCCAAGAUGUUCACACUUGGAGGGCUCAUCAUAUCUUAGGACAUCUCUAAAGUCCUUAGAAGAAAGUUAACAUAGCUAAACGACUUGGUUAAGGUUGCUACAAGUUAAAAGGCAUCUUUAAAAAACCUGAUAUUAUACCCAAAUGAAGAAAACAGAAAAAAAAACAAAACUAUCUAUCUGGUAGAUUAUAUGUGUAAAAACACAACUAAGUGUAUAAAAAGAUGAAUUUGAGGAAAAAACUCACUGUCUCACAUGACAAAAAUUGUUAUCGAUGGCUCUAGAGAAAAAUACAGGUAACUACAGAGCAUUAGGCCUGAUGACCAAGCCAGGUGAACUGGUUAAAGAAAAGAAUUAGUGAACAAAUGGGUAAGUAAAUGUGACGUGGGGAAAGAAACGGGCAGCUUUUGUGAAGGGAAGCGAUGCCUUGCAAGUCCCUGUGUACGGGGAGAGGAGAGCUGGUCAAUACCCCCACAAGAAAUUAAAAAACGCAUUCGACAUCUUUUAGCAGAGGCUCUCAGAGAAAUUAAGCUGCACGGGCAAAGAGGCAGCUUCUCCUGCGGAGAAAUAGCACAUGGAAAGAUGGGCAGCGAAGGACAGAAAGGAGCGCUCACCUGACAUAGUGGUGGGAGACAAAUAGCAGAGCCCCUCGACCAGCAUUAAUUAAUUAUACAGCAAGCUCAGAAACGUUCUGGGAAGGGGCGUGAAUACAAGUUGCAGAGAUUACUGUCAGCGCGAAGACAGGAGGAGAGGGGACACCGUGAAGGUGAGUGACCGGGCAACAAAACAGCAGAUGAACCUCGGUGUAGGUGACUGCACUGUGUUGGAUGGAUGGUGGGGUCUCAGCUGGCUGCUGCCCCUCCGGAGCAGCCUCCUGGGUCUGUAAGAGACGCUUCCACAACAACAUCAAUACGCUGCUUGGCAGUGGUUCAAAAAGCAAGCAAAAUGUUAGGAAUUACAAGAGAAAGGGACAGGGAACAAAACAAAACAAAACAAAAAAAAAUACCAUCCAAACCAAACAUGAUUAUGGUGCUGCGCAAAACUUUUCUACCACUUCCCAAGUCUUGCACACGCUUCUCUGGCCUGGCUGCCUUUAGCAUAAAUGCAUAGCAACGUGCGUGUUUAAAAAACAUUGCAAAACCAAAGCUAGAAAGCCAGUAUCAGCCGAACAAACAAAAC